UCGAGCGAUUCUCUUCGGAGGAGAGCGGCGGACGGGUGAGUAACGCGUGGGUAACCUGCCCUAUACACACGGAUAACAUACCGAAAGGUAUGCUAAUACGGGAUAACAUAAGAGAUUCGCAUGGAUUUCUUAUCAAAGCUUUUGCGGUAUAGGAUGGACCCGCGUCUGAUUAGCUAGUUGGUGAGGUAACGGCUUACCAAGGCGACGAUCAGUAGCCGACCUGAGAGGGUGAUCGGCCACAUUGGAACUGAGACACGGUCCAAACUCCUACGGGAGGCAGCAGUGGGGAAUAUUGCACAAUGGGCGAAAGCCUGAUGCAGCAACGCCGCGUGAGCGAUGAAGGCCUUCGGGUCGUAAAGCUCUGUCCUCAAGGAAGAUAAUGACGGUACUUGAGGAGGAAGCCCCGGCUAACUACGUGCCAGCAGCCGCGGUAAUACGUAGGGGGCUAGCGUUAUCCGGAAUUACUGGGCGUAAAGGGUGCGUAGGUGGUUUCUUAAGUCAGAGGUGAAAGGCUACGGCUCAACCGUAGUAAGCCUUUGAAACUGAGAAACUUGAGUGCAGGAGAGGAGAGUAGAAUUCCUAGUGUAGCGGUGAAAUGCGUAGAUAUUAGGAGGAAUACCAGUUGCGAAGGCGGCUCUCUGGACUGUAACUGACACUGAGGCACGAAAGCGUGGGGAGCAAACA
rnacentral:rRNA from 1 species